GAUGAACGCUGGCGGCGUGCUUAACACAUGCAAGUCGAACGGAAACGCCCUGCUUUUUUGGGGUUCUCGAGUGGCGAACGCGUGAGUGAGACGUGAGUAACCUGCUCUUGAUUUUGGGAUAACUUCAGGAAACUGGGGCUAAUACCAGAUAGGAUCUCCUGCACCAUGGUAGGGGUUGGAAAUUUUCGGCGUUCGGGGAUGGACUCGCGGCUUAUCAGCUUGUUGGUGGGGUAGUUGCUUACCAAGGCAUUGACGGGUAGCCGGCAUGAGAGGGUGAACGGGCACAUUGGGACUGAGAUACGGCCCAGACUGCUACGGGAGGCAGCAGUGGGGAAUAUUGCACAAUGGGAGGAAGCCUGAUGAAGCAACGCCGCGUGCGGGAUGACGGUCUUCGGGUUGUAAACAGCUUUAGCCUGUGACGAAGCGUGAGUGACGGUAAUGGGUAAAGAAGCACCGGCUAACUACGUG
rnacentral:rRNA from 1 species